rnacentral:tRNA from 1 species
UGGCUCAGAGGUUAAAGUGUCUGCCUGGAAUGCAGGAGAUCCAGGUUUGAUCCCUGG